UGCCGUUGCGCAGGCCGCUGUAUAAGAGUCUCGGACGUUGAGACGAAGAAGCUGUACUCGACGGAAAAGCAGAUUGUAAGAUGACAGCUGUGGUUCUUUUGGCGGCAACCUGCAUGUGCUGCGUGGUGGUGACCGUAAAAGGAGAGGAAGGGAAUGCCGACUGCCCCAAAGUAGAAUGCGAUACCAAAGAUGGACGCUGCUCGCUGAGUAAAGACAAAGAGACCGGCUGUCCAAAGUGCACUUGCAAGCCAGAAUCCGAAGACGGCUGUGCGGAUUGCCCGGAAGGUUGCAUGCCGACCAUGUUCCAAAACAAAUGCACGGGAUGUGUCUCUGAAGAUGAUCCCAACACUGAAUGCAAUUAAUAAACGAAAAUAUCUUCAAGUA